rnacentral:ncRNA from 1 species
AGGCAGCAGGCGCGCAAAUUACCCAUUCCCGACGCGGGGAGGUAGUGACGAAAAAUAACAAUGCAGGACUCGUUCGAGGCCCUGUAAUUGGAAUGAGUACACUUUAAAAGCUUUAACGAGUAUCCAUUGGAGGGCAAGUCUGGUGCCAGCAGCCGCGGUAAUUCCAGCUCCAAAAGUAUAUAUUUAAGUUGUUGCGGUUAAAAAGCUCGUAGUUGGAUUUUGGGCGCAGGCGGCCGGUCCGUCGCAAGGCGUGUACUGGACGUCCUGGCCUUCCCUCCGGUUCUCCGCCGGUGCUCUUGACUGAGUGUCGGCGGCGGCCGGAACGUUUACUUUGAAAAAAUUAGAGUGUUCAAAGCAGGCUCUCGAGCCUGGAUAAUGGUGCAUGGAAUAAUGGAAUAGGACCUCGGUUCUAUUUUGUUGGUUUUCGGAGCGCGAGGUAAUGAUUAAGAGGGACAGACGGGGGCAUUCGUACUGUGCCGUUAGAGGUGAAAUUCUUGGAUCGGCGCAAGACGAACGACUGCGAAAGCAUUUGCCAAGAAUGUUUUCUUUAAUCAAGAGCGAAAGUCAGAGGUUCGAAGACGAUCAGAUACCGUCCUAGUUCUGACUAUAAACGAUGCCAACUAGCGAUCGGGGGGCGUUACAUUGACGACCCCUCCGGCAGCUUACGGGAAACCAAAGUCUUUGGGUUCCGGAGGAAAGUAAUGGUUGCAAAGCUGAAACUUAAAGGAAUUGACG